rnacentral:rRNA from 1 species
UACGUAGGGGGCAAGCGUUGUCCGGAUUUAUUGGGCGUAAAGAGCGUGUAGGCGGCUGGGUAGGUCCGUUGUGAAAACUCGAGGCUCAACCUCGAGACGCCGAUGGAAACCCUCCAGCUAGAGUCCGGAAGAGGAGAGUGGAAUUCCUGGUGUAGCGGUGAAAUGCGCAGAUAUCAGGAAGAACACCCGUGGCGAAGGCGGUUCUCUGGAACGCAACUGACGCUGAGACGCGAAAGCGUGGGGAGCAAACAGG